CCUACGGGAGGCAGCAGUGAGGAAUAUUGGUCAAUGGUCGGGAGACUGAACCAGCCAAGCCGCGUGAGGGAUGAAGGUACAGAGUAUCGUAAACCUCUUUUGUCAGGGAACAAAGGCGGGGACGUGUCCCCGGAUGAGUGUACCUGAAGAAAAAGCAUCGGCUAACUCCGUGCCAGCAGCCGCGGUAAUACGGAGGAUGCGAGCGUUAUCCGGAUUUAUUGGGUUUAAAGGGUGCGUAGGUGGUUUGGCAAGUUAGUAGCGUAACUCCAAGGCUCAACCUUGGAACUACUACUAAAACUGUUGGACUUGAGUGCAGGAGGGGCAACCGGAAUUCCUAGUGUAGCGGUGGAAUGCGUAGAUAUUAGGAGGAACACCAGUGGCGAAGGCGGGUUGCUAGACUGUAACUGACACUGAGGCACGAAAGCGUGGGGAGCAAACAGGAUUAGAUACCCUGGUAGUC
rnacentral:rRNA from 1 species